UGACUAAUAAAGUAGCUGUAGCUGUGGCCGUGACAGGGGCAGAACUUGGCGGAGGAGAGCUCGAACCCCCACCAGGUGCCCCACCGGGCGAGGUGGGUGUAGGAGCUCCUCCGGGACCAGAAGCUCCUCCGGGACCAGGAGCACUUGAAGGUGUAGAAGCUCCUCCGGGACCAGGAGCUGGUGAGGAUGACGGCACUGAUGCUGGAGAUGGUGCUGGCACUGAUGCUGGAGUAGGUGCUGGACCCGCUGGUGUUUUUGGUGCUGGGGCUGGUGUUGCUGCUGCUGGUGUUUUUGCUGGUGCUGGUGCCGAAGUCGGUGGUGCAGGUGUAGUUGACGGUGUUGAUGCUGGCGGAGGUGUGGAUGAGGGUGGAGGUGUGGAUGCUGAUGGAGGUGUUGAUGGUGGCGAUGAUGCUGGUGGAGGGGUGGCUUUAGGAGCUGGAGCUGGAGCUGCACCACCUCCUGAAACGGAGACGGUCAAUUUUUGUCCCAAGGAACAGUGCUGGGCGAAGGUGCAAAUGAAAUAUGCCUGCCCUGGGGAGGUUAGAUUGAUUCUUGCCGGACCAACAGUUUGUAGUGAGAUGGGAUUGCUUGAGGUGCAUCCGUCAUAACUUGCCUUUGGAACUACGGCCACAUCGUGAGCCCCAGUUGCGAAGUUAAAAACUGCAACAAUUUACAAAGUUUCACUACUCAUUUAUCAAGACACUCGAAAUCCUAACCUGUAUCAUCAAACUGAACACAAAAAAAAAAAUCUGAUGCCAAUUAUGCAAGAAUUUUAUAUUACUAGUUUCAUAGCAGCAUCGAUCCAUUCUAAGUCCAACAAAAACGAAAUCAAGAAAAGCUGCUAAACAAAUCUAUUCAGGGUUCAGCGUGCCCUGUGACAAAGAUGUAGGGGCAGGGUACAUAAAUAUCUCGUACGUACCUAAGAUAUCACCAACUUUGAAGGUAUGUUGAGAAGCCCAGUUGGGAUAGACCGAAGAACUGGAGGGGAUUGCCCAGCCCAAGCUGUCCCCGACCACAUGAGUUGCCGCAUCGGUGUUUCCUAGAAUAGCAGCGGCUAGAAUUACCAAAAGUGGAACUGCUGCAAAGGUGGUACUUGCAGCCAUAUUUUCCUCUAGCUAGAGGGGCUACUUAUGUGUUCUCAAGUCGACCCCUGCCUGAAGCUUUCUAAGCUUUUGCUAAUCGUGGGAUCCUGCUCAAGCGUUCAACAAGAACCCUUCCGUUUCAACCGGGGAAAUCAAAUACUAUAAUAGAUUAUAGAGAGAGAGAGAGAGAGAGAGAGAGAGAGGAAACACAAAAAGAAAAGGACGUGUGACGAGUAGGCUGAAUUUUCCUUGGAAGUGUGUGGGAGGAGGAAGAGGAUAUAGGGGGUCUCGAAAGGAUAGAUUCCACGUGGAGUGGUAAUAGUGCGUCAGUGGUAGCUAGGGAUUGGCUAUUGAAUUGUUGAGCUGUUGCUGAACGAUUACCCGCAUCAGCAAUUCAGCAAACGGUAGAAACACGGAGAUUUUUGCUCCAACUAGUGGUCUUCCAACUCAACUGUUCAUCGCUCGGUGCGUUUGACUGGGGUUGGAAAAUGCUUUGCCCACAAACAUUGCAAAAGAGGCCUUUGAUUUUUCAAGUGCCUAAUGAAUGUCGGGCGGUGUUAGUGUCAUAAUCUAUAAAUUUUGCUAAUUCUUGAAUAAAAUACGAAGCUUGUCUUUUUUCAAGUCAAAAUGAAACGUAGAUUGCAAAAAGAAGUCAAAAUUCCGACCGUGAUAAUAUCAUCAUCAUUUGCUAAUGCACAUGCGUGUCCGAUCUUCACAGGCGUGGAGUUGCUCUUACCAAAAAUAUCAACCACGGAUAUGGUCGUGCAAAUUCAAGCAGAAAUCCUGGGUGGAGAACGGAAUAGACAGCAAAGCAUGCCACCUGAUGGGCAUGGCUGUAGCCUGUAAUGAAGGGGUACGAGAGUACUGUAUUUUCACCGGGAAGCGUGACUUUUCUAGUAUUUGGAGUUAGUCUGCCGUCGGUCGGCAUGCCUUUAUGAAAGUGGUGAUCAAGGCCCACCACGCGUUUUUACCGGUUCAAACUUUAGAAGUCAGCACAGACCGACCGCUUUCUACAGUUUUUUUUUUUUUUUUUUUGGUGAAAGAGGACGAUUAAUAAUUAUUAUAUAACUUAUCUAUUUUAAAUUAGAGGGAGACUUUGUAUUAGGAGCUAAUAGAUACAUAAAUUUUACUAGAUUAAGAGAGUAUUUUAUCUUAAUUUUUAGAAUUUAAUUUACUAUGAAUGGGAUCUAAACCCCCACUAACAGUCCAAACAGGAUUUUAAAACCCAAGCUCAGUGGUUACCGCUUUCUACAGUUGAAAUGUCGAACAAAUUAGCUUAUGGUUCUGAACACUGAACUACGAGAAGAUAAGAGUGUGUUAUCCCUUUGAAAUGUCAACGAAAUCUAACGGCUUAAGGGUCACCAUUUGUCCCGAAGAUGGUUGGCUGAGGAACCCUCUUCACUUCUUUUUUGUUUGGCAUGGAGUCGUUUCGUACGAUACAAUAUGAGCCUAGUGAAAAAAUCUAAAUACAUCAAUAUAUAAUAAAUAUUAAUUUUUUUUCGCAACAGCGACAAUCUACUGCACUACUGAUUUUUUUUUUUAUUGUUUUAUAUGGAAUCUUUUUGUUUCGUAUGGAGUCGUUUCAUAUAAUAUGAGUCUAGUAAGAAAAACUAAAUAAAUCAAUACGUGACAAAUAUAAUUUUUGCUUUUUUGCAAUGGCAACAAUCUAGUGCACUGCUAUACUUCCUUAUCAUUUCAUGCAAUAUGAGCUUAGUAAGAAAUAUCUUGUUCCAAUACAUUUGUCUUUACAGAAAGUAAGCAUGUUUUUGCAAAUAAACCUAAUCCCCACAGUAACUUCAAAAGCCGGCAACUUUUAAAGUCCUGCGAGGGACUUAUCUACCCAAACAUCCCAACCCCCCAACCGAUGUGGGAUAGAAAACCCCACAGGGUGCCCUGCUGCUAAGAGAUAUCUAAAUACAUCAACACAUAACAAAUAUAACUUUUUUUUUUUGAACUACAACAAUUAAGUGCAUUGCUAUACUUCCUUGUGAUGCAUUAAACAGACUAUUAUACUUUUUUAUGAUGCACUAGACAUAAUUUAAAUCUCACACCUAGUGUGCGGGAGAGAUUUAAAGUGGCUCUCCUCGACCAUUGGACCAAUGCCCAAUGGUUACGUAACAACCAUUAACGUGAAGUAUUCAACUGAACGAAGAAAACCUUCUAGUCCAAUUUCUUGAUAUACAUAUCAUUGUAGGCCAAUUGACAAGGACUUGGGUAGUGUUUUCUCUGGCAAUGACCAAAAGCCAUAAAAGAUGUACAGUCCACAUCCAUGAAGGAACCAAGAAAUACAAAUCGGACAUGCCAUCAAGUUGAAGGCACUGAGGCCAUGCCUUUAUGCGCGGCGGGCCGGGGAGCCAAGCUUGGUGGGGGUGAAAAGAUGUUUGUUCUCCCCCCCCGGCGGCGGGGGCGGGUUUUUUGAUUCAUUGGCGUAGUCAAAUUAAUGGCAUUUUCCAUCCUAUAGAAAAAGAUCUUCUUUUUAUUUCUUUAUUUGAAAAAAUAAAAGUAAAAAGUGAUGACAUCUGAAGCUUUAGCCUUUAAGCAUCUUUAAAAAAAAAAAAGGUUUAUUUUAUAGUUGUUUAAAGCGAAAAUUGAGAACUGCAAAAACAAAUUCUAUAGGAGAAAAAGUGCUCCUACAAUGGAAAAUUAGUGAGGGCAAUUCUGCUUGCAUCCUUUAAAGUUUGUACAACUACAAAAGUCUACUUUGUGUUACCAAUUACUACGUUGAAAUCCCCUAUUAUUUGUUUGACAUUAUGGUUAAAAAAGUAAUGGAUAUAUUUUCGCUGGAAUUACGUUGUGUCAAGAUAAUCUUGAAGCGCAACAGAUCUUCUGUCUCACAUCCUGUGUCACUCUCUGUCCCACUUUUUAUUAUAUUGUUAUCUCUCCUUCAUAAACAGCAUGUUUUAAUUCUUUUUUAUUUUCUUAAAAUCCAAUAACUAUUAAUUCAGUAAUACACAAAAUUUAACAAAUUCAAAAAAUAAAAUGCAUAAAAAAUGAGAUUUUUUAUGAAUUUUCUGCUGUAUUUUUAAUUUUCUAUUAUAUAUUACUUUUUUUAAGCUGUUGUAUUUAUUUUUUACUGAAUUAAUAAUUAUUGGAUCUUAAGGAAACAAAAAAAGAAUUAAAACAUACUGUUUAUGAAGGAGAAAUAGUAAUAUAAUAAAAAAUGAGACAGAGAGUGACACAGAAUGUAGGACAGAAGAUCCGUUGCUAUCUUGAAGUAAUGGAACAUCUUAAGAUAAGAUAUAUCAACAUGGAGAAGAAGGCUUAGAAAAAUGGAGCUUCAAAAAUUCGGAGGAAUUGUUACCAUUAAACACGUACAGAGGAAUUAAAUACGCCAUUAGCUAUCAAAACUGGCUUUUGGGGUACGAUCAAAAGGUUUCCUUUCCAAUAGAAACUCGACGCUCUUCUUCCCCGGGGUCCACCUCUCUAUGCAGAUGGCAAUUGAGGAAACUGCCAACACCUUCCAAUCAGAAUCAAGGCAUAUUUUUACUUUGUAGAGAAUUUUAGAAAAAAAAAGGUGUAUCAGGUGGAAUAAUUCACCCACUAUUUAUUUCCCAUAAAAGAAAGACAAGAAGAGGCCGUUCACAUCUAUUUCCUAAUCAUCUCCAACCAACCCAAGUCAAGAUGAAAUUAUUUUUGGAGAUCCAUAUGUAUAUAUUUAUGCUGCUCUCUUUUUGGCAAAAAAGGAAAGAUUACACCAAUUAUUUCUCACAUAUUGUUGAUGAUAAAUUUAGUUCAUCAAAUUCAAAAUGACCAAUUUUAGUUCCUAAUAAAUAAAACUCACAUAUUUUUUACGUGGUCAGUAUUUAAAAGGCAACUCUGAUAACUCACUUAAUGUUAACUUAAAAUUUUCACUUAAUCUACUAUUUCUCCUAAUUUUUCUUCACUCAAACCCUUAUUUCACAAAUCCAAAAAUAUAUACACACACCUCCCACUCUUACCAUCAUCUUCCCCACUAUUCCCAUUUUCACUUACUGUCACCUUUGACCUCUUCUCACUCCUUUCUUGCCACCGCUUUCUCUUCUACCUCUCUCUUCCUUAGUUUUCUCCUACUUCUCCCUGCUCAUUUUUCUCUAACCACCACUCAUCCUGCCACCUCUUCUUAUUUUCUUCCCUCCUCUUUCUUUCCUACUCUCUCCUCCUUUACUUUCCCAUUAUUCCUUGCUUUCUCUUUUCUUCUUUCUCUUCUUCUUCUUAACUUUUGUCUCUCCAUACUCCCCUUUUCCCCAACGAUUUGGUUGUGUUGCAAAUAAGGGAAAAAGAGAGGCACCAGAGAAGGAGAA
rnacentral:lncRNA from 1 species